CCCCGGACAUCUUCCUGGCCUGCGCCCGCAGGUUCUCUCCUCAUUCCCCCACCCCCACGUCAACCAGUGCCUGGUGCUGGAGGACACGCCCCACGGCAUGGCGGUCGCCCGGGCAGCGGGGAUGCAGGUGGUCAUGGUGCCCAGCGUCCAGCUCGACCCCGAACUCAACGGCCGGGGCCACCCUGCUGCUGCCCUCCUUGGGUGACAUACAACCCGAG